GCCAUGCCAACCCAGCACCCUCAUUGUGCUGAAAAAUAGAUUCAAAUCAGUCUUAGGGUUUGCAGGGAAUAAAAAAACCCCAUCAUUUCUGCUCUGAGCUGAUAUCCAGUUCGGUGAAUGUGUCAACUGGCCUGCAGGCUGCCUUUGGCCUAGAAAGUACAGAAGAAAAAAAAAAAAAAAGAAGAAGGAAAACCCUCCUCCAUGACAGCAGCAGAGCCUUUGCACACCAUCUUCCUCCACAGAAGAAAGUGAAAACCCUGCGGAACACAGAGACAGGAUGGCACAGCUCGCAUCUUCUGAAUGCACUGGCAUCCCAUAUGGGUGCCAGUUCAAAUCCCAGC